rnacentral:tRNA from 1 species
GGGGGCAGAGCUCUGUGGUAGAGUGUGUACCUGGCAUGUACAAGACCCUGGGUUUGAUCCCCAGUACCCCUG